GUGAAUUGCAGAAUUCAGUGAAUCAUCGAAUCUUUGAACGCACCUUGCGCUCCUUGGUAUUCCGAGGAGCAUGCCUGUUUGAGUGUCA
rnacentral:rRNA from 6 species